UGUUCCAUGGUGUAAUGGUAGCACUAGAGUUUUUGGUUCUCUCAGUCAUCGUUCGAAUCGGUGUGGAACAA
rnacentral:tRNA from 2 species